rnacentral:rRNA from 1 species
CCCUAUGGGGUGCAGCAGGCGCGAAAACUUCACACUGCAGGAAACUGUGAUGAGGGAACUCCAAGUGACUACACAUUUGUGUAGCUCUUUUCUUAACUAUUAAUCGGUUUUGGAAUAAGGGCUGGGAAAGACCGGUGCCAGCCGCCGCGGUAAUACCGGCAGCUCGAGUGGUCGUCGCUUUUAUUGGGCCUAAAACGUCCGUAGCCUGUUUGGUAAAUCUGUGGGUAAAUCAACCAGCUUAACUGGUUGAAUUCUGCAGAGACUGCCAGACUAGGGACCGGGAGAGGUGUGGGGUACUCUAGGGGUAGGGGUAAAAUCCUGUCAUCCUUAGAGGACCACCAGUUGCGAAGGCGCCACACUAGAACGGAUCCGACGGUCAGGGACGAAGCCUAGGGGCACGAACCGGAUUAGAUACCCGGGUAGUCCUAGGUGUAAACGCUGUGAACUUGGUGUCGGGAGUCCGCAAUGGGCCCCCGGUGCCGGAGUGAAGAUGUUAAGUUCACUGCCUGGGGAGUACGGUCGCAAGGCUGAAACUUAAAGGAAUUGGCGGGGGAGCACUGCAACGGGAGGAGCGUGCGGUUUAAUUGGAUUCAACGCCGGAAAACUCACCAGGGCCGACUGUUAGAUGAAGACCAGCGUGAUGAGCUUGUCGGAUUUUCAGAGAGGAGUGCAUGGCC